GCAUGAACCAUCGCUAUCCGAUCGUGCCCCUUCGUCCGUCGCUUCAUUCGCCCACAUCACACGCCCGCGCAGGUUCCGCUUGCCCCUCCUCCCCCAAAUCACGCUGCCUUCCCAAUCUCUACACCCAACCGCAUCGCCGGCCCUUCUCUGCUUCCACUCCCAGCCGCCGCCUGCCGAUGCUUGCCUCUCACCUUCUGCCCGUUUCCCUUUCUCCCAUUCGCACGCCGCCUCAUGCCCUCCUCUUCAUCACCCUCCUCCCAGAUCUCGUCGCCCUCGCCAUUGCCCUCCACCUCCUCCUCCUCCGCCACGCUGGACACCUCCAUAUAGUUUAGGUGCCGACCCUCAUGCCGCAAGCUCCGCCUCGCUCCCUUCCUCGUCCUCGUGGGCGUCAGCGACGUCCUCUCUCCCCUGCCUUCCUGAGAGGAGGACUACCACGGGGUGGAGCCGCGAGGAGAUCAGUCCGGAGAGGGUUGUCGCAUUGAUCGGCUUCUUCUCUUGUUGGAUUUCUCGUCGGACGUCUAGGCUCGCUCCCUGGCGCGGAGGCCGCACCGGCUCGGUGGCGCCGAUGGCGAGAUGAAGGGCGGGGGCAUCCCUGUCGCGGUGGCAAUCAUGCCCUCGGCGCUCUUCUUCUGGCGGUUUAAGGCUGUAUUGUUUCUCCUAUGGGGCUUAUGUUGUUACAAG